AUGGCGAGUUCGGCUUCAGGCGCAGGCUCGGGAACAGACGACGUUGAAGAGAUGAUGAAGAACCUGGGCUUGACGGAAGAUGACCUAGAUGAUGUGGUCUUCGAAGAUCAACAGGUUCCAUCAGAAGCGGCCGUCAGGUGGAUGGCUGUGGCACGAGUUCAUACACCCAAAGAAUACAACCAGUACAGGUUUUUUCUCAACAUGAGGGCUGCCUGGGAUCUGGCUCAGGAAGUAAAAAUCCGCCCCCUCGAGAGCAACCUAUACACGAUGCAAUUCUCGUGUUUGGGUGACUGGGAACGUGUGAUGGUUGAGGGCCCGUGGACUUUCAAGGGCAAUGCGGUGGUGAUGGCGGAAUAUGAUGGAUUUACAAAGCCAUCGGAGGUUAACCUGGACAUGCUGGAUAUCUGGGCGCAGAUACACGAUCUGCCUGAUGGCUACUUUCCCAUGGUGAAAGCCCUGGCCGGAAAAAUUGGUGAACUCAUAUAUGCUGAACCGAAGUCCCAAGAUUUUGAAGGAAAUUUCGCGCGUGUCAGGGUGAAGAUCAACGUCCACAAACCACUCAAGAACGCAGUCACGGUGGUGAGGGAGGGCAAAAGGAAGGUUUUCUUGGUCAAAUAUGAACGAUUGCCCGAUUGGUGUGCCGUCUGUGGCCAUCUGGGCCAUCAAUUCAAGGAACACGGUGACGGUGUUCAUCCACCGCAGGCGCUGGUCUUUAAAAAUGUGACGCCCGGAUAA
rnacentral:rRNA from 1 species